UGGGGAGUAUUGGACAAUGGGGGCAACCCUGAUCCAGCAAUGCCGCGUGAGUGAUGAAGGCCUUAGGGUUGUAAAGCUCUUUCGGCGGGGAAGAUGAUGACGGUACCCGCAGAAGAAGCCCCGGCUAACUUCGUGCCAGCAGCCGCGGUAAUACGAAGGGGGCUAGCGUUGUUCGGAAUUACUGGGCGUAAAGGGCGCGUAGGCGGUCUUGUAAGUCAGGCGUGAAAGGCCCGGGCUCAACCUGGGGACUGCGCUUGAUACUGCGAGGCUUGAAUCCGGGAGAGGAUGGCGGAAUUCCCAGUGUAGAGGUGAAAUUCGUAGAUAUUGGGAAGAACACCGGUGGCGAAGGCGGCCAUCUGGACCGGUAUUGACGCUGAGGCGCGAAAGCGUGGGGAGCAAACAGGAUUAGAUACCCUCGUAGUCCCUGAGCGGGCUGGCAAGGCGCAU
rnacentral:rRNA from 1 species